GACGAACGCUGGCGGCGUGCUUAACACAUGCAAGUCGAACGGUAAGGCCCUUCGGGGUACACGAGUGGCGAACGGGUGAGUAACACGUGGGUGAUCUGCCCUGCACUUCGGGAUAAGCCUGGGAAACUGGGUCUAAUACCGGAUAGGACCACUGCCUGCAUGGGUGGUGGUGGAAAGCUUUUGCGGUGUGGGAUGGGCCCGCGGCCUAUCAGCUUGUUGGUGGGGUGAUGGCCUACCAAGGCGAAGACGGGUAGCCGGCCUGAGAGGGUGACCGGCCACACUGGGACUGAGCUACGGCCCAGCCUCCGACGGGGGGCAGCAGUGGGGAAUAUUGUACAAUGGGCGCAAGCCUGAUGCAGCGACGCCGCGUGAGGGAUGACGGCCUUCGGGUUGUAAACCUCUUUCGCCAGGGACGAAGCGCAAGUGACGGUACCUGGAGAAGAAGGACCGGCCAACUACGUGCCAGCCGCCGCAGUAA
rnacentral:rRNA from 1 species